ACGGGUGAGUAACGCGUGGGUAACCUACCUUGCACAGGGGGACAACAGUUGGAAACGACUGCUAAUACCGCAUAAGACCACAGUACCGCAUGGUACAGGGGUAAAAACUGAGGUGGUGCAAGAUGGACCCGCGUCUGAUUAGCUAGUUGGUGGGGUAAAGGCCUACCAAGGCGACGAUCAGUAGCCGACCUGAGAGGGUGAUCGGCCACAUUGGGACUGAGACACGGCCCAAACUCCUACGGGAGGCAGCAGUGGGGAAUAUUGGACAAUGGGGGGAACCCUGAUCCAGCGACGCCGCGUGAGUGAAGAAGUAUUUCGGUAUGUAAAGCUCUAUCAGCAGGGAAGAAAAUGACGGUACCUGACUAAGAAGCCCCGGCUAACUACGUGCCAGCAGCCGCGGUAAUACGUAGGGGGCAAGCGUUAUCCGGAUUUACUGGGUGUAAAGGGAGCGUAGACGGAAUGGCAAGUCUGAAGUGAAAACCCCGGGCUCAACCUGGGGACCGCUUUGGAAACUGUUGUUCUAGAGUGUUGGAGAGGUAAGUGGAAUUCCUGGUGUAGCGGUGAAAUGCGUAGAUAUCAGGAAGAACACCGGAGGCGAAGGCGGCUUACUGGACAAUAACUGACGUUGAGGCUCGAAAGCGUGGGGAUCAAACAGGAUUAGAUACCCUGGUAGUCCACGCUGUAAAC
rnacentral:rRNA from 1 species